rnacentral:lncRNA from 1 species
UUGCGGGGGCAGUGCCGGCUGCGGAGGGAAACACUUCGCUCUCCGCGCUCCGGGACCGGCGCCUGCCGCGGUGCGGAUGCGUAUGGAGGAAUCCUCGUGAAAACAGCUCCCGACGUUUCCCCCCUCAAAAAAACCCAAACCCAAACAAACCACCCACUUGGAUAAUUAAAACGGUUUUUGGCAGUAACCAGUGUUGCUAAGGCUGACUGAAUUCCUACUACCAGUCCUAUUCCCAGAGGUAGCUUCUCCAAGGUGAUUCCUGACACAGGAGAUGGAAAGGCAGGCUUGCUGCAGCAGCCUUCAGCUGGCAAGGAACUUCCCUUACAAACCUUGUCCCAGGGAUGCACUGUGCCUUUAGGAGCCUUAGGAAGACUUAUUGGCAGGAAAGAAUUUAAGAACACCACGAAUCAGGUGAAAGUGUCCCUCUACCCUUCCUUCUCUGUUGGGACAUGGGAGUUCAAGAUCAAAAUACACAUCCCCUACCAGAUCCAAGUAGAAGCUCCUCUUUCUUAAAUGGGAUUUUUUUAAUCCAAAGCAGCAAUAUUUCCCUCUACUCAUACUUAAUAUGAUGGAUGAAGCUAAUUGUCUUUAGUACAUCACUUGGUCAGUAUCUAAAGACACACAUUAGGAAGUCACAUUAGGAGGGAUUUGUACAAUUUUAUAAAGCCCCAUAAAAAUUUUUAGAUCCAAUUGGCUUGCAGGUCAGAGUGUCCAACAGAGCAAGAGACACCUGCUGGCAAGUGAAGUGUUCCAUUUCAAAGCUGCCUGAAGCCUGGUGGAAGGUGGAAAAGUAGGAGCUUUCUCUGCCCUGGCACAAUUUUGUGAUUACUUAAAGCACAAAGGCUGCUAUUGCUGCCUGUAGCAGUUUAAAUGCCCUAAAUUCAAUCCCUGGCUUAUUUUGCUGUCUGAUUACUGUUACUGUUUUUUAAUUAAGACACAUUUUGCUAAUGAACCCACACAGAAAAAAAGCAAACACCUUCUCCCACCCUUCUCAGUACCUUCAGAAAACCUGUAUUCAAAAGCAGUACUUAAACACUGAUCAGCAAGUUUUUCUCCCCACCAAUGCUAAAAGCAAUAUAUAUAUUAAAAAAAAAAAAAAAGGAAAGAAAACAGAAAAAGAAAACAGAAAAAGAAAACAGAAAAAGAAAACAGAAAAAGAAAACAGAAAAAGAAAACAGAAAAAGAAAACAGAAAAAGAAAACAGAAAAAGAAAACAGAAAAAGAGAAAACAGAAAAAGAGAAAACAGAAAAAGAGAAAACAGAAAAAGAGAAAACAGAAAAAGAGAAAACAGAAAAAGAAAAAGAAAACAGAAAAAGAGAAAACAGAAAAAGAAAAAGAAAACAGAAAAAGAAAAAGAAAACAGAAAAAGAAAAAGAAAACAGAAAAAGAAAAAGAAAACAGAAAAAGAAAAAGAAAACAGAAAAAGAAAAAGAAAACAGAAAAAGAAAAAGAAAACAGAAAAAGGCCCAAAAAUCAAGAGCUGUACAUUUCUAGCACCUCAAUCUACAUUCAGAACCCCAAACAGAAGACCGAUGAUGCCUUUCUCAAAGGUAACUGCUACGGGUAAA